rnacentral:rRNA from 2 species
GUUGACCUCGGAUCAGGUAGGAAUACCCGCUGAACUUAAGCAUAUCAAUAAGCGGAGGAAAAGAAACCAACAGGGAUUGCCCUAGUAACGGCGAGUGAAGCGGCAACAGCUCAAAUUUGAAAUCUGGCCCUUGGGUCCGAAUUGUAAUUUGUAGAGGAUGUUUUUGGUGCGGUAUCUUCCGAGUUCCUUGGAACAGGACGCCUUAGAGGGUGAGAGCCCCGUACGGUUGAAUGCCUAGCCUUUGUAAAACUCCUUCGACGAGUCGAGUAGUUUGGGAAUGCUGCUCUAAAUGGGAGGUAAAUUUCUUCUAAAGCUAAAUACCGGCCAGAGACCGAUAGCGCACAAGUAGAGUGAUCGAAAGAUGAAAAGCACUUUGAAAAGAGGGUUAAAUAGCACGUGAAAUUGUUGAAAGGGAAGGAUUUAUGACCAGACUUUUUCUAGGCGAAUCAUCCGGUGUUCUCACCGGUGCACUUCGUUUAGUUUAGGCCAGCAUCGAUUUUCGGGGUGGGAUAAAAGCUUUAGGAAUGUGGCUCCCUCGGGAGUGUUAUAACCUAUUGUAUAAUACCGCCCUGGGGAUCGAGGUACGCGCUUCUGCAAGGAUGCUGGCGUAAUGGUUAUCAAUCACCCGUCUUGAAACACGGACCAAGGAGUCGAACAUUUGUGCAAGUGUUUGGGUGUUAAACCCUCACGCGUAAUGAAAGUGAACGGAGGUGAGAGCCCUUACGGGUGCAUCAUCGACCGAUCCUGAUGUCUUCGGAUGGAUUUGAGUAAGAGCAUAACUGUUCGGACCCGAAAGAUGGUGAACUAUGCGUGGAUAGGGUGAAGCCAGAGGAAACUCUGGUGGAGGCUCGCAGCGGUUCUGACGUGCAAAUCGAUCGUCAAAUCUGCGCAUGGGGGCGAAAGA